rnacentral:rRNA from 1 species
GACAGAGGGUGCAAACGUUGUUCGGAAUUACUGGGCGUAAAGCGUGUGUAGGCGGCUACAUAAGUCGGAUGUGAAAGCCCCGGGCUCAACCCGGGAAGUGCACUCGAUACUGCGUAGCUUGAGUCUCGGAGAGGUUGGUGGAAUUCUCGGUGUAGAGGUGAAAUUCGUAGAUAUCGAGAGGAACACCGGUGGCGAAGGCGGCCAACUGGACGAAGACUGACGCUGAGGCGCGAAAGCUAGGGGAGCGAACAGG